rnacentral:lncRNA from 1 species
GCAAGUCAGUUUGCAAUCAAAAUGGAAAUUGAAUGCUUGAAAGAAAUAAGAAAAUAAUUGUGCGUAAAAAAUCAUAAAUUCACAAUAGGGUCUAAAAUGGUAAAAUCCUAAAAGACGAUGUCCUCAGUGGAGUCGCCAUGCUGUCGCGCCCUCUUUUCCUCGCGAAAUCGGGUUUAUGACAUUUGCGAGGACAACUCAUUCCUUUUGUGAAUUGCGUUUGACUUGAAGAGUCACCACCUAAUAAUUAGGGUGCAUUAGGACACCAAGGAGAUUUGAUUUGAAUGACUAGGGAUUGGGUAAGAGCUUGAAAUUGUUCCAAGGAGAAGGUGUUAGACACCCCUCAAAAACCACUAGUGUGGUUCCGGCCAGAUCAUUGUUAAUUUAUGUGCAAAUAACAUUUAGGCAGAUAGAACUUCAAAUAAGAAGGGAUUUUCACGUAAUGGUUUUACAAAUAAACAAAAUUGGAAAGAACUAAAAGAAAACUGAUUUUUUCUUAAAAGAAAGAGUUUAAUCUUAGAAGAAACAAAGAAAUAAAGGGAAGGGGGUCCUAGGUUUAUUAACAAUAUGGAUCACCCAACACAAUGCCCAGUAAUCACUCCUCAAUUAGGGGCUACACAUGACAUUGUUGCUUGUUCAUCAUAUCCAUAUCUACCCUUCCCACCCCGUUAAGGUUUUAAAGUGCGGAAUAGUCUCGUUUACUCAUUUCUUGCUAUAACCCAUCCCAAUCUUAUUUUUCCCGGAGGCAUUUGGGACUACUAUUCCUAAAGAGGAGGGAUACUAGGCUUAUUUGUAGUUUCAAAGGCAAAAAUUCUAAGUCGACAUACAAAACAUGUAUAGCAAGUUAGGGAAAGCAUAUAACAAGCAGAGGCUCAGAUAUACCUCCUCGAACAAAGUAACACGUAAUUAGCAUGACUUACACGUACUAGUUAAGGUCUGAUUAAAUACUGAACAUGAAAGAGAAUAUAGGUUGAGGCAGACUGAUUUAUUACAUAAUUCAGAUAAGCCCCAAUCAGGCUUGCCUGCUGAUUGUAGUUAAUAGAACAGAUUCAGUUUAUAAUUUUAACCUAAGGCUUGCCUAAGUAUUGGACAAGAUUCCUAUAGGCAUGGUAUCUAUUGAAUUUAGAAAGCAAUAAAAUAAAAAUUCUAAAAUAAAUUGAAUAUGUACUAGUUAAAAGGGUAGUCAGAUUAUUAAAAGAAAGGCAAGUUUUUACGAAGGAUAUAAGUUCUGCAACUGAUAGUACCUGUUAUUACUUAUUUAAGCUCUAUAUGUGGAUGAAGCGAUUCAAAUUCGAUUAGAAGUUCCUAUAGACAUACUUUCUAUGCGUAGUUGAUUCUGAACCUUGUAUAUAUGAUAUAAAAUGCAGAAGACUCGUUUUAAACUUUUGAACAUGAUAUCUAGAUGCAGAAAAUUGUUAAAGACCUAUGAGCAUGAUAUCUAGGUGCUGAAUAUGUUUAAAACCUAUGAGCAUGAUGUCUAGGUGCAGGAUUUAUUUAAAACCUAAGAGGAUGAUGUCCAGGUACAGGAUUUGUUUAAGACCUAUGGACACGAUAUCUUGAUGUAAUUGAAUAUGAAGAUUUGGAAAACUUGUAGGCAUGAUUUCUAUAUGAAUAUAGUAGUCCUAUGAUCAUGAUUCAUAUAUGAGAAUGCAUACACAUGGUUCAGAACAACCUAUAGGCAUGAUUUCUAUAUGCAUGCAGAUUUAAAAUACCUAUAGGCAGGAUUUUUAUAUGCUUUCGAAUGUGCAAAAUUUAAAAUACCUAUAGACAUGAUCUCUACCCUUUGCAUAAAUUAUUACCCACCCCUUUUUACUAACCAUCCCUAGAAUUUUAUUAAAAAUUAUUACAGCCCGUCAUAAAGUUAAAAAACAUCAGAAAAAUAUAAAUAAAAGUACAACCAGGGAAAGCCUGAUUCAGACUUCAUGUCUGAAAUAUGGGGUAAACCAACUCCAAGACAUCAUCAUCCAAAGCCUUUCUCCCAUUUGAGUGUGUCAAAGUUCCCCAAGAGCUUCAAUGGGACUCCGGGCAAUGCUCCUACCCAAAUGUACUAUAAGAACAGGACAAGUGCAUGUGAAAGGGCCAACCCUCAAGUGUCCAAGUUCAGAUGGAGCUCAAAGGGUCCAAGGCAAGGCUCACAAAAGGGGGAGGGGGCAGAACUUAGAGACUAAGAAGGUGUGCAAGUGAAGAACAUAAUACUAAAAGGGAAAAAAGAUAGGGAAAUAGCUAUAAAUAAGCACACAUAAGGGGGUUCAGGGGAAUUGGGAGAUUGUAAAUAGCCUAUUGCUUAGGGAAGGGCAGGACUUAGGCAUGUCCAGCAAUGGAGAGUGCCAGCAUACCUAUAAGCCUGCUAGAACACACAUUAUUAGAGGCUAGGAUCCUAGAGGAUCAAGUUUGAUUCAUGGACAAUAAUUUGCAGUAUUGUCAGGCCUCAAACCAUAACUUAAACACAUAGAGGGGGAGUAGGGGUUUUGGAUUCAUAAUUGAACAGGUAGAAAGAAACUUCAACAUGCUAGAAUAAAUGUUGAACUAUAUAGAGGUAGUAAGUAGACAUGGAUAUAAAGAUAGUAAAUAAACACAUUGUUGUGGUGCUGAAAACCUUAAAUCAGGACAUACCAGUUUCAAAGAAGCAAUUAGAGAAAAAGCAGGCAGCAAGACUUGCAAACAGGCCACAAUACAAAUAUCAAGAGGAAAUUCUUUUGAGUGUCAGCAUAAGUUCAGAAAGACUAUGAGUGUUGGCGUGUAGAAAACUAAAAGUCUUUGUGUCUUUUGCUAAAUAAAGAGUCAUGUAUUUAUAGUGUGAAAAACAGGCAGAAAUAAGGUAAGAAAAAAAAUAAGGAACUAGGUAUCAAUUAAAAUCAAUCAGUACAAGACUUCCUUUAAUUAAGGAAUUCAGUCUUAAACGGUAAUGAGCAAAAUUAUUGAAGGAAAGAAAUCCAAUAAGCAUCUUGUGCAAAGUAGGCAAUUAAGGGUAAAUACAUAGGAGUUUAUUUAGUGGAUGAUUUUUGAAAUACACGGUUAAAAUAAAUAAGGUAAGAAUAAAUUACACAGUAAAUCAAGGAGCCAAAGGUUUCUAAUUAUUGGUCCAUGAAUGAACCAAGUCAGAAAAGCUAAGGAAAUUCUUCGACCAAGACCAAGUAACGCGGAAAUCCGUAAAUAAGGAAAGAAACCGAUCAGACUUACACAAAGGAAGUCUGAAAUCAUACAAAAGAAAUUGAAAGUCAUUUAGAGGGGAAGUUUAGCACAUUUAAAGAGAAAACCAGUAUUAGGCAUGCGAGGCUGAAUUUAGGACAAAGAAAAAAUGUCAUGCAAUUUCCAAAUAAGUAAGUAGUAGACAAUAGGGACAUGGUAAUCACAGGGUAACUCAAUAAUGGAGAAGAGAGAGUAUCAAAUAGCAUACAAAGGAUUCAGUAUAAAGACCUUAGAAGAGUUUAGGAAGGAAUCAGAAUCUCUUAAAGAAAUAAAGGUUGAAACAAAGAUUUUGAAACUUAAUUGAGCAUAGAUGAAACAACUUUAGAAACUCGAAAUAGGUCCAAAGAAGUUAUGGUUUUGAAACCAAACGAGUUUAGAGAUGAAGAACAAGCAAAUCACAUAGCCAAUGAUCUUAAAACUUGGAUGAACCCUCAAAGUCUAGGGUCUUUACCAUUAGUCGAUUGUAGAGGAAAAAGAAAGUAAAUCAGGUAGAAAUACUAACUAAAUAAGUUCAGAGGUCUCAAAAGGAACUGAGGCCUUUAACCUGCAUUUUUCAUAAGGAGAAACAAAUAUGAAACAUAAUAGAAGAACAACAUGCGAAACGCGAUAGAGGAAUUUAUAAGAACAUAGUAGAAGAAACACAUGGGAAAAAAGUGGAAGAACUAGUAAGAACACAGUAGAAGAAACAUUUAAAGAAGCACAAUAGAAGAGACUAAUAAGAAACAUAGCACAAGAAACACACAAGGAAACACAGUAGAAGAAACUAAUAAGAAAUAUAGUAGAAGAAACACACAAGAGAAAAAGAAAAUCAGAGAAACAUAUAAAUAACUUAACAAAAACCCCAAAUCGGGAAAAGUAAAGGUUUUGAAAGUAUAGUUAUUUGAAAGAAAUUUGGGGAAACCGUUUAAAAACUCAGGGAAAACACGGAUGCAGAACAAUCUAAAAAAUCAUAAGAACCUCAAAAAUUAGGGUUUCCGAGGGAACCCCAAUGGUGAGAAAGGCUUGGAUAGUCGUUGAUCUAAGUAGGAGGAGUCGAGGUCAGGCUCGAACAACUAUGGUUUGUCGGAGCAAGGCUGAAGAUGGCCAUAGAAAUUGAAUCAAACAAGGUCUGGGCAAAGCAACUUCGUGGUCAGGCCUUAAAAGUUAGUAAUCAAGAGUGUAGGAGUCAUAGAAGGCCGGUAGGUGGUGAGACCACCAUGGAUUCAGGCAAGGCGAGCCGGAGCAAGGCUGGAGAUGGCCGUAGAACUCGAAUCAAAUGAAGGCUGGACCAAGCUUCUUCGUGGUCAGGCCUUGAAUCUUUAGGAACCAGGCGGGUAGGAGUUGUAUGAGUUUGGUAUAAGACUUUGAUGGACAUAGAAGCCAUAGGUUCAGGUGAUUUUAGGGUGGAAUAAAGGGAGUCGGCCAGGGUUUCAGAGAGAGAGCUUGGGCAAGUGGGAAUCCAGGGGCGGUUACUGGUGAGAAAUGAGUAGGGUUUGGGGGGUAUUGGUAAAUUAAAAAGGAAAGGAAGAGUGUGAGCACAGCUUGAAUUAAAAGGGGGAUAAGGUGGGUUAUUUUAAAGGGUCAUGGGUUGGGUAGAUUUAAGAAUUGGGCUGGGUAAUUGAAAUUAAAAUUGGGUUCAAUUAGGGGAGCCAAAUCUGGCCAAAAUUGAAAUACCAAAGGGCUAAAAUUUAAAUAGCUAUUUUUCCUUAUCUAUUUUAUAAAAACUAGUAAAAUUGUCACACCUCCUUUUGGCUACUACAACCCGGCGAAGGGCAUAGAUAAGGAAGUUUUUUCAACUAAAGGACAAUAGAAACGGGAUUCAAUUAUUUAAGAGAAUUUCAGAGUCGCCAUUUGGGAGAUUUAUGGUGUCCCAAGUCACCGCUUAGAAUCUAUAAUCGAGGAAAGAAUGACUCUGUUUAACAGUCCGCGAACCAAAAAGCCGAGUAAGGAUUAUGUUAACGCGGGAGAAGUUGUUAGGCAUUCCCGGGUUACAUGGUUCUAGCACGGUCGCUCAACUGUUAUAUUUGGCUUAAAUUACCUGAUUUUAUACAAUUAUGAACCUAUGUGCAUUUUUUAAUCUUUUUAACCACUUUUAUUAUUUUUUUAAAAGAGAAUUACAACGUCGUUAAAACAUCUCUCGAACCACGUCACAUAAAUGCACCCGUACUUUUGACACAUUCCAAAUUCGUUGAGAUUAAGAUUUGGGUCACAUAAAUGUGCACCCGAAUUUAGGAGAGGUAAAUUAUUAAUAUAAUGCGCCUAAAGCAACUACGCACUUUUAAGUUUGCGAGGGCCAUGAAAAUUCAACUAAAUGGCAGAUUUAUUAAAGGAAAAGCAAUUAGUUAAACUAUGGUUAUUUAUUAUUACAACUAAUUAAAUUAGGAAUCACAACCAUGCCACGGAAACCGUAUCAAUAGUUGCAACGAUUUAAGUUUAAAGCAAAAUUCAAAUAUUUAUUAAUCCGAAUUUUAAGCCCAAAUCCCCACAGUCCAAUUCAAUAUCCAAAAAAUUUCUUUACAUUUUUUUUAUCCAAACCAUAAAGUUUGAGACAUACGGUGCAAUACCAUGAUGGAUGCCUAAUGUUCAACUAAAAUAAAUGAAAGGCACAAUAGUUAUUUUCAUUUUUUAAAUAACAAAUCAUUUAUUUCUGGACAACUUGGCGGAUAACACCCAUCCCCUAGUGAUGUUCCUUUUCUACUCCCUUGUUUCCAGACCAAAAAAAUAAUUUAAAAUGUUCAGCAUCACAAAAGAGUUCAGACUAGAAUUCAGUAGAUACAAGGACGGUUUAAUUACUAAGAAACUCUAUCAGACUUGAGAUUUACAAACGGCAACAAUAAAUUGAGAACAAAUUUUAGCUCAAUACUCAGAACCAAGCUAAGAACACUAGUCUAAUUCAUUCAACUUGAUUAAGUCAAAACGAUCUAGUCUAAGUUUAGUUAUAACUCGAACUUUUUUCAAAAUUUUCAGCACAUAUGGACCUUAAGCUCAUCACAGCCACUCUAUUGGCCAGAAUUAAGCAUUCUUCGCAAAUUCGAUACAUUUGUAAUUCCCCACCAGAAUUUGACGACACUGAUAUAAGCUAAACAGGUUUAAAUUUUCUAACAUGCAAAUAACUCAGAAAAGGAUUCAACCGUAUAAAGAUAACAAAUGUAUCGAAAUAUCAUGGAGAGGAAUAAAAGACACUGUUCAAAUUAUGUCCAAGUAAUACUUGAAUUCAUAGUUGAAUACCUGGUUGGGAAAUAAACAAUUGAAAGAGCCAAAGAAAAAACACAACAAAGAGGUCUGAAGUUCAGCAAACACGAGUAGAAAUUAGACUGGAACCUCGAGCAAUAGCUGGGAACUCGACGCGGCACCGUGAAUCUCGAAUCGAACAUGAACUCAAACCCAAAUCUCAGUCAAAUUCCAUUUUUGCGACAAACCCAGUCAAAGAUCCUCUCCCUCCGUCCCGAUUUCUGUUCAUUCUCUCUGCUCUGUGUAUGUAUGCGUGUU